UACGGAGGGUGCAAGCGUUGUCCGGAAUCACUUGGCGUAAAGGGCGCGUAGGCGGCCCGGUAAGUAGGGGGUGAAAUCCUGCGGCUUAACCGCAGGGCUGCCUUCUAAACUGUCGGGCUCGAGCACGGUAGAGGCAGAUGGAAUUCCCGGUGUAGCGGUGGAAUGCGUAGAGAUCGGGAAGAACAUCAGUGGCGAAGGCGGCCUGCUGGGCUGUUGCUGACGCUGAGGCGCGACAGCGUGGGGAGCAAACAGG
rnacentral:rRNA from 1 species